CGGCUAAGACACUACUCCUGCCAAAUACCCUGCAGUAGCGCACCGCGCUAUGUCUCCCUCCAGGGAUCUGUACCACUCCCAAUCCUGUUUCGUGCUGGGAUUGUAGUCUUGUAAACCUACAACUAACACCUGGGUGCGGAUAAGAGACUACAGCUCCCAUCAUUCCCAGCAAAGGGCCGUUCUGCACCGAGCUCUUUCAGGAUUCCAGUGCAGUUCCGCCAUGCGGAGGGAAGCUUGGCUGUUCACAAACCUCUCCUGCACUCGAGGAGACAGCUUGGCCGGGGCAGCUGAUCUCACCUUGUCAUUGUGACACGGUGUCUCCCCAACGUGCCGACUUCAUGACUUGUCGUGCCCAAAGUUUACUUUCUCGCAGAACCGGUAGAGGCCAAGAGCUUCUCAGAGCUUCCGCCGCAGGGUUGCCAUGAUUAACUCUUAAGUACUCCACGCUUCUGAAACGGGCGUAGGCACAGCGUCAGUUCUGUACAGUGCGGACGCAGCAGGACAGAAUCUCCCUGGGCAUCUUUCUGGAGCAUCAGUUUUACUGCAAGAUUUUAAGAAACAAAUUUAAUUGAUUUCCAAGUUAAGAAAUUAAACCUUGAAAACUAGACUAAAAAGUCAUCUGCACCUGACGUAACAGACUUUCUGCAGGAAGAAAACUCUAAGGAGAGCAUAUUGUCCAUUAUUAUAAAUAGUGAAAAUGAGAAAUCAUAGCAAGUCCCUUGAAAACCCUGCCCUGCCAGUCUU
rnacentral:lncRNA from 10 species